AGCGGUUUCUCUACCCUGAAGAUGAUGUAGACACAAACACAAGGAAGAUGAAGGGGCGAGCGGCUGCGCUCCAUUUCUCUUCAUCGGAGGACAUCUCAAUGACGUACGACUAGAGAAGAGGGAUACGGAGGGAGGGGAGAGAGAUUGAGGUGAGCUUUGAGACGAGGAAUGACAAGGCAGAUGACAGGUACAUUUCAAGAAAAAGUGGCAAUAAGUGAGGGGGGAAACAGGGUCUGGAAAUGCCGCAAGUUGGAUUCAAGCCCAUGUAACCCACAUAAGCACCACAGCUGAGCCCACAUAGAUGAGGUGAAGCGGGUGCCACGUGAUACAUGACAUUAUUAAACAAACUCGGAGAUGGUACCCAAACACCACACUCUCGGCGCACAGGGGACAGCAGCUGUCUGUUCAGGAGGGGAUGCAGAGUUGUUUAUAUGCAGGACCUGGACAAGUAAGUGUCUCAAUGUCUCCACACUCGGAAUAGAACCACUCUCAAAUAUCAAGCGGGCCGUAGGUCAGAAGCGGCCCAUGACGCUCCACUGACCUCAGCGGAGGAGAGAAACUCCUACAGCAGAGAAAAGCAGCUUUCAGAAAUAUAUAUUAGGAUGGAUGUAUAAGUUGGUCUACAAACAAAAUACAGGAGAGAAAGAAAAAUUCAAUUGCCUGGACUUCAUCAACACAGCGAAAACUCAAUGGAGUGUUCUACCUGAAUGAAGCCCAGGAGGCAUUUGAUGAGAAGCGCCGGCCUUCCAUUGUUCUCCAGCGGCUUUUUAAAGCAUCCCAACCUGCUUCCACCUCCAAGAGGCAGCUUAAUGAUUGGCCACAACAUUAUGCAAUUCAAACAUGCUAUUUUUAGCCAGUCGUGGGCUGUGUAUGCAAAUUUGCAUGGCAUAUUUCACGUGGUUGGUAACAAUAUACACAGAGAUGACAGAAUAAAUGAAUGCAUAAGCUAUAUUUGGACAGGACUAGCUUUCCCAGAGAAGAUCAGAAGCGGUUUCAAAAUGGCAGCAAAAUAAACAAUAAAUGUUGUCUCUCUGAGGCCUGAAGGUUCAUUAGAUGAGAGCGUUCCUCAAUCCCUUGGGUGGCAGUUCCAUGUGGUCAGAAACUUGCCACUUCACAUUUUACUCGCCAUGUCAUGGAUCAUGCGACGCAUUGUUGGCCACUGGAUUUAUUGACCCGGCUCCCAUGUGUGCACUUAGCAUAGUUUCCUGAUCAAUUAUGUAUAACACAUUUAGGAGCAGGUUAAGGGCUUUAAAGGAAAUGAAAACACAAUGGAGAUAUUACAG
ensembl:lncRNA